rnacentral:SRP_RNA from 1 species
GCAGGGCCUCAUGGCCCAUGUCUGUAGUCCCAGCUACUUGGGAGGCUGAGGCAGGAGGAUUGCUUGAGUCCAGGAGUUCUGGGCUGUGGUGUGCUAUGCCAAUCAGGUGUCUGAACUAAGUUCGACAUCAAUAUGGUGACCUCCCAGGAGCCAAGUACCACCAGGUUGCCUAAGCAGGGGUGAACCAGCCCAGGACAGAAAUGGAGCAGGUCAAAACUCCAGUGCUGAUCAGUAGUUGGAUCGCAUUUGUGAAUAGCCACUGCACUCCAUCCUGGGCAACGUAACAAGAUGCAUUUCUU